GGCCUGAUAGCUCAGCUUGUGGAGCACUGCACCAGCAUCGCAGAGGUGUGGGUUCGAAUCGCCGUUCAGGCCU
rnacentral:tRNA from 1 species